AUGCCUUAAACUUAUGAGUAAGGAAAAUAACGAUUCGGGGUAACGCCCGAAUCCUCACUACGCAUGUGAGAAGAAUUUUUGAGCGGGUACAGGUUGUCCCUAAGGUGACCCGCUUACUUCGCGGGAUGCCUGGGUGUCGCGAUCUGCCCG
rnacentral:snRNA from 13 species